UACAGAGGUGCCAAGCGUUAGGCGGAAUCACUGGGCGUAAAGAGUGUGUAGGCGGUGCUCCAAGUCUGGUGUGAAAUCUCCCGGCUUAACUGGGAGGGUGCAUUAGAAACUGGAAUGCUAGAGGAUGGGAGAGGUAAGCGGAAUUCCUGGUGUAGCGGUGAAAUGCGUAGAUAUCAGGAGGAACACCUGUGGUGUAGACAGCUUACUGGACCAUUUCUGACGCUGAGACACGAAAGCGUGGGUAGCAAACAGG
rnacentral:rRNA from 1 species